AGGACGAACGCUGGCGGCGUGCUUAACACAUGCAAGUCGAACGAGGUGCUUGCACCUAGUGGCGAACGGGUGAGUAACACGUGAGCAACCUACCCUUGGCUCUGGGAUAGCCUCCGGAAACGGGGAUUAAUACCGGACAUGACCUGUGACGGCAUCUUCACGGGUGGAAAGUUUUUCGGCCAGGGAUGGGCUCGCGGCCUAUCAGCUAGUUGGAGGGGUAACGGCCCACCAAGGCGACGACGGGUAGCCGGCCUGAGAGGGCGACCGGCCACACUGGGACUGAGACACGGCCCAGACUCCUACGGGAGGCAGCAGUGGGGAAUAUUGCACAAUGGGGGAAACCCUGAUGCAGCGACGCCGCGUGCGGGAUGAAGGCCUUCGGGUUGUAACCGCUUUCACCAGGGACGAAGCGAGAGUGACGGUACCGUGGGGAAGAAGCGCCGGCUAACGUACGCGCCAGCAGCCGC
rnacentral:rRNA from 1 species